GAUCAAUUAUUUCAUUCCCCCACUUAGUAUUUUUUCCCUCUGUCUGAAACUAUCAACCCUAAUAACUCUCACUUUUCUGAAAACUCUCGAACCUUGUCAACCUCGUUCUCUCUCCAACCUGACCUGCCCCGAUUCCCCGACCUCGUUCUCCAACCUGGCCUGAGCUCGUUGUCCGAUCCGAGCCGCUCGAGCUCCUUCUCCGACCCGAGCCUCUCGAGCUCCUUCUCCAACCCGAGCCUCUCGAGCUCCUUCUCCGACUCAAGCCACCUCGAGCUUGUUCUCUGAUCUGACCUCGAGGUCCUUCUCCGACCUUACCUCGAGCUCAUUCUCCUACCCUCCCCCUUUAUAUACUGGCCUCCAUUUCCUCCUCUUCCCUCAUCCUCACUUCUUCAGUGCACACAACUUGUUCGACGAAAUUCCCCAGAGAGAGAGAGCCAUGUAUGUGGUGAAGAGAGACGGGCGCCAGGAGGCGGUCCAUUUCGACAAGAUUACGGCCCGGUUGAAGAAGCUCAGCUAUGGGCUUAGCAUCGAGCAUUGCGACCCGGUUUUGGUGGCCUAGAAGGUCUGCGUCGGAGUCUACAAGGGCGUCACCACUAGCCAGCUUGAUGAAUUGGCUGCUGAGACCGCCAACCAUGCACCCUGACUAUGCCUGCUUGGCGGCAAGGAUUGUUGUUUCAAACCUACACAAGAACACUAAGAAGUCCUUUUCAGAGACGGUCAAAAUUAUGUACAACCAUGUCAAUGAUAGAUCUGGGCUAGAAGCUCCUCUGAUUGCUGAUGAUGUUUAUGAAAUCAUCAUGAAGGUAAUAUCUUUCAGCAACUCUUGGUCAUUUGACUUGGUGUUCUGGACUAUAACUGUGGAAUGAUAGAUACUGGAGUUCACUACUACAGAAUCAGGGUUUAAAGACACCUGGCUGGAAGAAACAAGGACGAUUUUUUAUUUCACUGUCAUUCUUGAUGACAUAAAGAAAAUGCAGUAGUAUGCGGUCCUUUCUUAGUUAAAUUGAGAGCUCUCCCUGCUAUAAUUUCUCCAGGCUUAACUUCAGUAAUCCCUCCCCUUGUCUCUUACUCAAGAUCAAAUAAUGCAUUCGUUUCACGCAAACAUUCCUGCUGCUUACCUAAAUGCCAAUAUGGAGUAGAGUGAACAACAGGAGAAAACUCUGAAUAUGUCACCCCUGAAAAAGUUGCCAAAAAUAAUCAAGAGAAGUAGUACAUGGUGGAGAGAUGGGUUCAGCCUUGGCAACAGAGGGAUCAAAUGAAUAUAAUUCAAGGUUGAAAGGAUAGAUAUAAUUACUGCUGCAAUGGGACACGCCUUAGCCGCAGAAGGAGGAUUCUGCACUGGAAGUGCUAGAGUUACUGAUCACCAGCGAUUGAGCAGUUCUGGGUACGUCUUUUCUGCUUCUUUGCCCCCAUAUCUUGCGAGUGCUGCCAUUACUGCCAUUGAUGUUCUUGAGGAGAACCCUGAUUUGAUAACGAAGUUGAAGAAAAACAUUACGUACGUUACUAUGGAAAGUUCUGUGCUUGAUCUCAUUUUUCAUGUGCAUGUGUGUUCCUCUUGGUUUGAUAUCGCACGGCCAGUAUAGUCAUCACUUGAUUAGUAGUGUCUUAGCAGUCGCUUAUCACAUGCCUUGUGCUGGCAUCCUCUUGAUUGAGUAUUGUGCUCUGAUGUGCAGGAUUGUCAGGUGUAAUGGGGUUGUUUAUAUUCAAGAAGUUGGGAAAGCCAGCCUCUUUUUUGAGUUAGGCUAGCUUUUAAUUAACAUUUUUGUAGCAAUUAUGAACAAACAUGAAUACUUAUUGCUAGGCUAGCCUUGUAGUAGGUGAAUUGGGGUUUUAUUUUACCCAUUUUGUAAACUGUUAAGGAUGAUGAUUUCAUAUAUAAUAGCCCAAUAUUCAAAUCA